rnacentral:piRNA from 1 species
UGAGGAGUGAGCGUGUGGUUCUCUAGU